CCAGUGUUGGUGUCAAUUCUAGUCUAUUCGGAAAGUACACUGAAAUUCUAAUUAUUUUCAAUGGGGAUAAUGUGGAAUGUGAAUUUGGUGAACUCUAACCCUUUGUUGUGGUUGUAUUACAGUUUUUUGAUGAUGUUUUACAGGGGAGUUUAUUGGUCCAUUGGUUUUCAUUCCGAACAAUAAAUAAUAAUAUAUAUAUAUAAUAAUAUAUAAAUAAUAAAUCAUUAUUUUUAACGUGUGAUGCCUUUAAUGUGUGAUGGCUUUAAAAGCAUGUUUCUCUAAACAUGGCCUAAGGCAGGAAGGAAGUAAAUCAUGGCUUUAAAAGCAUGUUUCUCUAAACAUGGCCUAAGGCAGGAAGGAAGUAAAUCAUGGCUUUAAAAGCAUGUUUCUCUAAACAUGGCCUAAGGCAGGAAGGAAGUAAAUCAUGGCUUUAAAAGCAUGUUUCUCUAAACAUGGCCUAAGGCAGGAAGGAAGUAAAUCAUGGCUUUAAAAGCAUGUUUCUCUAAACAUGGCCUAAGGCAGGAAGGAAGUAAAUCAUGGCUUUAAAAGCAUGUUUCUCUAAACAUGGCCUAAGGCAGGAAGGAAGUAAAUCAUGGCUUUAAAAGCAUGUUUCUCUAAACAUGGCCUAAGGCAGGAAGGAAGUAAAUCAUGGCUUUAAAAGCAUGUUUCUCUAAACAUGGCCUACGGCAGGAAGGAAGUAAAUCAUGGCUUUAAAAGCAUGUUUCUCUAAACAUGGCCUACGGCAGGAAGGAAGUAAAUCAUGGCUUUAAAAGCAUGUUUCUCUAAACAUGGCCUACGGUAGGAAGGAAGUAAAUCAUGGCUAUAAAAGCAUGUUUCUCUAAACAUGGCCUAAGGCAGG